rnacentral:misc_RNA from 1 species
GUUUUGGCAAAAUGGCCAUAACUUGGUCUACAAGAACUCAAAUGUAAUGAAACCAGUGACAAAAUGUCCAAAAGAAAUAGACCUAUAAAAUUGGCAUUUUGACAAAAAAACUCAGAAAACAAGAGAACUAGAUCAAACAGUUAGAAUAAGUCAUUGCAUCAAAACCUGCAAUCUGACCAAACUUCACUUGACUCUAGAAUAGUCUUUUAGUCAUA